UAUGUAUAUGUAUACCGUAUAUUUUAUUUCCCUGGGAUUGUAGUUCAAUUGGUCAGAGCACCGCCCUGUCAAG
rnacentral:tRNA from 1 species